CCAUACAAUAGAGAUGCCCCCAGGGCUGUCGCUGACCUUUGUGGGUCAUGCACGCCUGAAGUGCUGUCUCUUACAUCCAUCUCACCCCUUUGUGCAUCACUGCGUGGGCCUCCCUAUUGGGAUUGGUUCAUGUUUUUACACAGACACCUUUCUUUUAAUGCAUGUGUAGAAUGUCUUGCUUUUUUGUGGUCACACACAAUCAAUA
rnacentral:misc_RNA from 1 species